rnacentral:lncRNA from 13 species
CUCACAACUACGCCAGCCAUCUCCAUCCUCCCCCAGCCCAGCCUAUCCUGACUUUCUUCCUUGCCGCUGUCCCAAGGUGUCUCUGAGGAAUUCCGCAGGCUCCUCACAGCAUAAUCAGGACAGCACUGAUACAGAUAACCUCAAAAGCUGCUUUGAGUUAUGGAGGCUGAGAAGUUCCAGUUUGAGAAGCCGCAUCUGCUGAGAGCCUUCUUGAUGAUGGGGAUUGCUGAGGAGUCCUUGAGGCAGCCCAGGGUAUCACAUGCCAAGGUCACUGAGGGUGCUACCUCAGGAACUGCGAAUACUAGAGUGACCUCGGAUAUCUCAUCUGGAAGAUGGUAGCACUGCCAUCAGCUUGGGUGUCCAAAUGACCUCAUGGAUCACAGCUACCAUGGCCUGGAAUGCUGACCUUGGAGCUGCUUUAAGAGAAAAAUUAACUUCUUUGUUCUUUGAGCCACAUCAUUAUUAGGUCUCUUCUCAAAGCCACUUAACCACUUUUUCUAUCUCAUGAAGCUCUGAAAUUUUGUUUGGUUUCUGGAGUCAAAACAUUCAUUUGUUUCUUCUUUAUUCAACAAGAAUCAAUGAUUGGGGGCUCAUACCAGUUGUCCUGGUGCUUGAGGAAGUGAGGCUAUGCAUUCAAGGCCAACGUGGGCACCAUAAGAACCUCUCAUUCGUUAAAAAAAAAAUUGUUUAUUUUAUUGAAGCCACGAUUCCAAAGAGAAGAAUAGAAAAAAACAUUAGCCUUAUGGAUCUUUUGUCCUGGAAACAACACAGAGUGGAGACUAUUGGACUUUUCAAUAAAGUUCCUUUCCUGAGCA